UAUCAAUUUUAUGAAUAAUUAUAUUUCUUGCUUUAUAUCUUAAUAGCGGCCUGAUAUAAUCUGUAAAAUCGCUCCUUUCAACAAUUUUGACUUCUGUAGUUACUGUGUUUCGUUUUUUGGGACAGCCGAGUGGAAUAGAUAAAGAAGUGAGAAAUUAGCUAAGAAUCAUUAACAAUGGAUGACUACAACUGCGUAACCGUAAUCAAAAUAGAGGAAGAAAAUGUGAAUAUGAAAGAACAAUUUGCCAGAGCCUUAGUGCAAAAAAAUAAAGUGGUUAACAUUGAAAAGAGUUGUCUGACGAACCUCAACAAACCUCAUGAAAAUAUUGAUGGAGAUACAUAUAAUGUCAGAAGAACUGUUACAAAACAGUAGUCAAAGUUUAAGUUGACCUAGGAAUGGACAUUGUUUCGAGUCCGUGAUUGAAAUUGAGAAAAAUUGUCUUUUAGAUGCGAACUAUGAUAUGGAUGAGAUACAGCCAUUUGUCUGCGAUAUAUGUGAAAAGUCAUUUGAUACCAAAACGAGAGUUUCUCGACACAUAAAUCAGUCACACAGUGCACACUCAACAAAUCGAAAUUGCACUGAAAAACCAGUCAUCAAAAAUGACAUCGGACAAAAGUUUUAUAAAUGUGCUGUGUGCCAUGUGUCAUUUUCUCAUAAAAUCUCACUUACAAGACACGAACGCAUGCACACCGGUGAAAAGGCCUUUUAAAUGUAACGUGUGUCUUAAGGCAUUUUCUGAUAAUACCAACCACAGUAAACACACACGUUUGCACCACCAUUAGAUUUUUAGUCAAUGAUUUGUAUUAUUUGUAUUUUCAUUUGGCUUACUAAUUUGUGUAUUAAAAUGGAUGAAGUACCUGCCACUUAAUAUAACAAGUGCUACUGCUUAAGUUUUAAUAGAAUAUAUUGUUUCAUAUUAAUUAAAUGAUUUUAACCAUUUUAUGACCAUUUUAAUGUUAAAUAAAAACCUAUAAAAUAUGUCACAUGAUUUUAUUA